rnacentral:rRNA from 1 species
UGGCCGUAAACGAUGUGGACUUGGUGUUGGAAUGGCUUCGAGUUGUUCCAGUGCCGAAGGGAAGCUGUUAAGUCCACCGCCUGGGAAGUACGGUCGCAAGACUGAAACCUAAAGGAAUUGGCGGGGGAGCGCCACAACGCGUGGAGCCUGCGGUUUAAUUGGAUUCAACGCCGGACAUCUCACCAGGAGCGACAGCAGAAUGAUAAUCAGGUUGAUGACCUUAUUUGACUAGCUGAGAGGAGGUGCAUGGCGUAGACGUCU